GAUGAACGCUGGCGGCGUGCCUAAUACAUGCAAGUCGAGCGAACGGACGAGAAGCUUGCUUCUCUGAUGUUAGCGGCGGACGGGUGAGUAACACGUGGAUAACCUACCUAUAAGACUGGGAUAACUUCGGGAAACCGGAGCUAAUACCGGAUAAUAUUUUGAACCGCAUGGUUCAAAAGUGAAAGACGGUCUUGCUGUCACUUAUAGAUGGAUCCGCGCUGCAUUAGCUAGUUGGUAAGGUAACGGCUUACCAAGGCAACGAUGCAUAUCCGACCUGAGAGGGUGAUCGGCCAGACUGGAACUGCGACACGGUCCAGACUCCUACGGGAGGCAGCAGUAGGGAAUCUUCAGCAAUGGGCGAAAGCCUGACGGAGCAACGACGCGUGAGUGAUGAAGGUCUUCGGAUCGUAAAACUCUGUUAUUAGGGAAGAACAUAUGUGUAAGUAACUGUGCACAUCUUGACGGUACCUAAUCAGAAAGCCACGGCUAACUACGUG
rnacentral:rRNA from 1 species